CUUAUGCAGAGCAUGAGGCUGGGGAGGCAGUGCAGUUGUAAACUUCAGCGUGGCCCCUGUGUAAUAGGAAAUGUGUUUGCUGGGCCUGGGAGGAGCACACCCCAGGAGGACCAUGGCAGCCCUUCCUGUUAAAGGGUCUAAUAAACUAGUGGAAGGCAAAAGAGAAAACGUUGGCAUGGGGCGUGUAUACCAACGGGAGAGACAAAAACACAUUGCAAUGACGGGAACAGCAAGCUGUCUGAGUAAAAGCAAAGCCAGCAAGAAAACCAGAAGACAGCAGCAAGAACUGCAGGCGGCUGAGCAGAUUCCAGGGGAAGGAGAUGACAGUGGGAGAAAUGACCAGCAUUCCAAAAGGGCUGGAUUGCACAGAGGGGCAGCAUCACAAGAGUGGGAAGGGCAGUGGAGCAAUGUGGCCUCCUCCACAAGAGUCGCACCUGUUAUUCAGCCUCUGUUUCAGCGUUCCAGAGACAAGGCUCCCUGCUACGGUGAAUCCCAGUGCUGGACUACUCUAAGCAGGUGA
rnacentral:lncRNA from 1 species